UACGGAGGGUGCAAGCAUUAAUCGGAUUUAUUGGGCGUAAAGGGCGCGUAGGCGGGGAUGUAAGUCAGAUGUGAAAUCCCGGGGCUCAACCUCGGAACUGCAUUUGAAACUAUAUCUCUUGAGGAUAGAAGGAGAAAACGGAAUUCCACAAGUAGCGGUGAAAUGCGUAGAUAUGUGGAAGAACACCGGUGGCGAAGGCGGUUUUCUAUUUUAUUCCUGACGCUGAUGCGCGAAAGCAAGGGGAUCAAACAGG
rnacentral:rRNA from 1 species